rnacentral:rRNA from 1 species
GUCAAUGGCCAUACCACCCUGAUGCACCUGAUCUUGUCUGAUCUCAGAAGCUAAGCAGGGUCAGGCCUGGUUAGUACUUGAAUGGGAAUGUGUGUGUUUAGAGAUCAGAGAGUUUGUUCCAUUCACU